rnacentral:rRNA from 1 species
GACGAACCGUGCGACCGUUGUUCGGAAUCACUGGGCUUAAAGGGCGCGUAGGCGGGCCGCCAAGUCCGGGGUGAAAUCCCCCGGCUCAACCGGGGAAUUGCCUGGGAUACUGGCGGUCUCGAGGGAGGUAGGGGUCGAUGGAACUUCCGGUGGAGCGGUGAAAUGCGUAGAUAUCGGAAGGAACGCCGGUGGCGAAAGCGAUCGACUGGACCUCUUCUGACGCUGAGGCGCGAAAGCUAGGGGAGCAAACGGG